rnacentral:rRNA from 1 species
GACGAACGCUGGCGGCGUGCUUAACACAUGCAAGUCGAACGAAGAGCGACGGAAGCUUGCCUCUAUCAAUCUUCGGGGCGCACGGGUGUGUCACGCGUAUUCAACCUGUCCUUCAGUGGGGGACCACAGUUGGAAACGACUGCUUAUACCGCAUUCUAUCUAAUCUCGGCAUCGAGUAUGGAUGUAAGGUUUCCUCUACAUUUAAACUAUCACUCACGGCGGGUAUUUCGGUUGGUUAGGUAGUUGGAGGGGUAACGGCCAACCAAUGUGAAGAUCAGUAGGCGGUCUGAGGGGAAGGACGGCCAAAAUGGGACCGGGACACGGCCCAGGCUUCUAAGGGGAGGAGCAGUGGGGAAACUUCCGCAAUAGAGGGAAGUCUGGCGGAGCAAAGCCGCGUGGGUGAUGGCAGCCUUCGGGUUGUAAAGAUCUGUUUAUCGGGAAGGAAGGCCUUCUUGCGAAUAGUGAGAAGGAUUGACGGUACCGAAAUAGAAAGCCACGGCUAACUACGUG